GUGGGGAAUAUUGCACAAUGGGCGGAAGCCUGAUGCAGCGACGCCGCGUGAGGGAUGACGGCCUUCGGGUUGUAAACCUCUUUCAGUAGGGACGAAGCGCAAGUGACGGUACCUAUAGAAGAAGCACCGGCCAACUACGUGCCAGCAGCCGCGGUAAUACGUAGGGUGCGAGCGUUGUCCGGAAUUACUGGGCGUAAAGAGCUCGUAGGCGGUUUGUCACGUCGUCUGUGAAAUCCCACAGCUCAACUGUGGGCGUGCAGGCGAUACGGGCAGACUUGAGUACUGCAGGGGAGACUGGAAUUCCUGGUGUAGCGGUGAAAUGCGCAGAUAUCAGGAGGAACACCGGUGGCGAAGGCGGGUCUCUGGGCAGUAACUGACGCUGAGGAGCGAAAGCGUGGGUAGCGAACAGGAUUAGAAACCCCUGUAGUCC
rnacentral:rRNA from 1 species